GAUGAACGCUGGCGGCGUGCCUAAUACAUGCAAGUCGAGCGAACAGAUAAGGAGCUUGCUCCUUUGACGUUAGCGGCGGACGGGUGAGUAACACGUGGGUAACCUACCUAUAAGACUGGGAUAACUUCGGGAAACCGGAGCUAAUACCGGAUAACAUUUGGAACCGCAUGGUUCUAAAGUGAAAGAUGGUUUUGCUAUCACUUAUAGAUGGACCCGCGCCGUAUUAGCUAGUUGGUAAGGUAACGGCUUACCAAGGCGACGAUACGUAGCCGACCUGAGAGGGUGAUCGGCCACACUGGAACUGAGACACGGUCCAGACUCCUACGGGAGGCAGCAGUAGGGAAUCUUCCGCAAUGGGCGAAAGCCUGACGGAGCAACGCCGCGUGAGUGAUGAAGGGGUUCGGCUCGUAAAACUCUGUUAUUAGGGAAGAACAAAUGUGUAAGUAACUGUGCACGUCUUGACGGUACCUAAUCAGAAAGCCACGGCCAACUACGUG
rnacentral:rRNA from 1 species